rnacentral:rRNA from 1 species
AACGAACGCUGGCGGCGUGCUUAACACAUGCAAGUCGAACGGAAAGGCUUCUUUCGGGGGGUACUCGAGUGGCGAACGGGUGAGUAACACGUGAGUAACCUGCCCUUCACUUUGGGAUAACUUCAGGAAACUGGGGCUAAUACCGGAUAGGAGCUCCUUCUGCAUGGUGGGGGUUGGAGAGUUUCGGCGGUUGGGGUUGGGAUCGAGGCUUAUCAGCUUGUUGGUGGGGUAGUGGCUUACCAAGGCAUUGACGAGGAUCCGGCCUGAGAGCGUGACCGGCCACAUUGGGACUGGGACAGGGCCCAGACCCAGACGGGUGGGGGCAGUGGGGAAGAGGGCUCAAUGGGUGUAAGCCAGAUGCAGCACCGCCGUGGGCGGGAUGACGGCCUUGGGGUUGUAAUCCGAUUUCGCUCAUGACGAAGCUUUGUGUGACGGUAGUGGGUAAAGAAGCACCGGCUAACUACGUG